AUUGAACGCUGGCGGCAGGCUUAACACAUGCAAGUCGAGCGGAGUUUUGGUGCUUGCACCAAGACUUAGCGGCGGACGGGUGAGUAAUGCUUAGGAAUCUGCCUAUUAGUGGGGGACAACGUUUCGAAAGGAACGCUAAUACCGCAUACGUCCUACGGGAGAAAGCAGGGGAUCUUCGGACCUUGCGCUAAUAGAUGAGCCUAAGUCGGCAUAGCUAGUUGGUGGGGUAAAGGCCUACCAAGGCGACGAUCUGUAGCGGGUCUGAGAGGAUGAUCCGCCACACUGGGACUGAGACACGGCCCAGACUCCUACGGGAGGCAGCAGUGGGGAAUAUUGGACAAUGGGCGGAAGCCUGAUCCAGCCAUGCCGCGUGUGUGAAGAAGGCCUUUUGGUUGUAAAGCACUUUAAGCGAGGAGGAGGAGCUCUAGGCUAAUACCCUAGAAGCUUGGACGUUACUCGCAGAAUAAGCACCGGCUAACUCUGUGCCAGCCGCCGCCGUAACAC
rnacentral:rRNA from 1 species